CCUACGGGAGGCAGCAGUGAGGAAUAUUGGUCAAUGGUCGGGAGACUGAACCAGCCAAGCCGCGUGAGGGAUGAAGGUACAGAGUAUCGUAAACCUCUUUUGUCAGGGAACAAAGGCGGGGACGCGUCCCCGGAUUAGUGUACCUGAAGAAAAAGCAUCGGCUAACUCCGUGCCAGCAGCCGCGGUAAUACGGAGGAUGCGAGCGUUAUCCGGAUUUAUUGGGUUUAAAGGGGGCGCAGGCGGCCGGUUAAGUCAGCGGUCAAAGCCCGGGGCUCAACCCCGGCCCGCCGUUGAAACUGGCAGUCUGGAGUGGGAGAGAAGUAUGCGGAAUGCGCGGUGUAGCGGUGAAAUGCAUAGAUAGCGCGCAGAACUCCGAUUGCGAAGGCAGCAUGCCGGCUCCACACUGACGCUGAGGCACGAAAGCGUGGGUAUCGAACAGGAUUAGAUACCCUAGUAGUC
rnacentral:rRNA from 1 species